GGGGACCCGCACAAGCGGUGGAUGAUGUGGAUUAAUUCGAUGCAACGCGAAGAACCUUACUACCCUUGACAUGUCCGGAACUUGCCAGAGAUGGCUUGGUGCCCGAAAGGGAAUCGGAACACAGGUGCUGCAUGGCUGUCGUCAGCUCGUGUCGUGAGAUGUCGGGUUAAGUCCCGCAACGAGCGCAACCCUUAUCAUUAGUUGCUACGCAAGGGCACUCUAAUGAGACUGCCGGUGACAAACCGGAGGAAGUGGGGAUGACGUCAAGUCCUCAUGGCCCUUAUGGGUAGGGCUUCACACGUCAUACAAUGGUCGGUACAGAGGGUUGCCAAGCCGCGAGGCGGAGCCAAUCCCACAAAGCCGAUCGUAGUCCGGAUUGUUCUCUGCAACUCGAGAGCAUGAAGUCGGAAUCGCUAGUAAUCGCAGGUCAGCAUACUGCGGUGAAUACGUUCCCGGGUCUU
rnacentral:rRNA from 1 species